AUCUCAUCUCUGCCAUUUGGCUAAGAUCAAGUAUAGUAUCUGUUCUUAUGAGUUUAAUAUCUGAUACGUCCCUUUAUAUGAGGAACAUUCGUUAUAUGGAGUUUUAGAACAGGGAGCUGAAAGAAGAGCUUGAUCUGUCCACCUCGUGCAUUGACCUGGUAUUGUAGUGCCUCCAGGACUGGUGCAAAAAAA